CGCCAUCAAAGACAUUAAUGAGGGGGAGGAAAUGACCUAUGACUACGGAGGGGAUGACUGCCCCUGGAGAAUUCAAAUUGUGACAGACGUCGGAAAUGAAGAUGGGACUUUUGUCCCAAAACUUAGACGGACAAAAAGUAUCAUAAUGGAAAAAACAGAUUUCGAAGACCCUGAUGAAUUAUAUGAUUCUACAUCAGAUAGUGGUGAUGAGUAUGUGCCAGAUUCCACCACUGAAAGUGAUGACAGUGAUUUCAACCUCACAUCAGUCAUUGGGACA